AAUAAAAAUUGUUCGAUAUAAAAGUUAUAAAUAAUUAAAUUGUUAUGCAAUUAUUUUUAAAAUAUUUAAAGAACAAAAACUAUUUAAAACCAAGCUUCAACUCACUAAAAUCAAAAUUCUCAUUAUUAUUUUGUUACACGAGUCCACAAUGGAAGACACGAAUGUCGAAGAAGAAAGUUUAAAUUCAGAUGUUGCUGCAAGCGGUUUAGUCGCUCUUUGUGAUCGAGUUAACAAUGCACAUCAAUAUCCAGAAUUAAUUGACAAAAAUUUAGAGUUUGUAGCUGCUCAAUUUGUGGAAGAUUCUUCAUUACGUAUAUUUGUUCGAAACAUAUCUAAUUCAACCUCAUAUGACAAUAAAAAUAAUAAAAUAAUUAGAACUGCUGAUGAAGGUACUAGCAAAAUUACUGCAACUUAUUCUGUUGAUAAAAAUAAUCAUAUUACACAAAUUUAUGAUGCUAAAGAAGUGUCAAAUACAUCUAAUAUUCAGGAAGAAAUUCAAUGGGAGGAUAAAGUCGAAGAAUCAGAGGUAAUUUCCCUGGAACACGACCAUGAAGAUGAUCACAAUAAUGUUGAAAUAUCAAUAGAUAUUGAAGACGAAAGUACUGUCAAAAACAGCACUUUAUAUGAUAAAGAAUAUGAUACUGAGACAGAUGAUAUAAGCAGUCAAAAUAUUGAAGACUCAACACAAUUUAGUGAAUGUUUUAAUGAAGAUGAUGAUGGGAAGCUACUUUUGCAGUUUGCAGAUGUGCUUGAUGAAAGCUAUUUGCAAAUAUUAAAGAGUCGGCAAGCAUUAAUGAGGGAAGCAGUCGAGUGGAAAGUGUAUGCACGAACAUUGCUAGAGAAAGGUUGCUCAGAUGGUGCAAACUUUUAUGAGCCUGAAAUAUUGACUGUUCUCAAAGCAACUGACGAUAUUGCAAUGAAAGCAGAAAUUUUGUCAAGGAUUACAGAAAAAGAUAUGCUACAACCAUCAGUCCAAUUUUGGGAUUUUGAGCAAGUGUAUGCUAGGAAUGGUGCAGGGCGGCCUUUAAACUGUCCAAGUUGUUCAUGUCCCAUGACAUUUGUUUCUUUUGGACAAAGAUUUGCUCUACGAAUGUUAUAUGAUUUAGAUAAACCUGUGUUACUUGUUACAUCUUUUCUGCGUUGCUCUAACAAAGGUAAAAAACAGCAUGAAAUUUUAGGUUAUGAUCCACGUCUUCUGCGAAUGUUCCCAAACCUGGAUUUACCUUUUAUGUUAUUUCACAAGGCUGGGAUAACUAAACGAAUGAUGGAAUUUAUAAUGGAUAAUGUUAUUAGUGGUAUGACAGUGAACAGAUUAUUUGAUGUGGUUAAGACAAAGUAUGAAGUAAACCAUACCAUUACAUCACAAUUUUUUGCAAAUGAAAUUGACAGUAUUAGAGACCAUGUUACUGCUGCUGGAGGCCAAAUUGAAAUAAGCAAUGAAGCUAUGUUCCCACCUUACGUUAAUUGUCAUCCUAGUAAGGCUCUUUUAGGUCGAUGUUUCUUAGCUUCAUUUAAAGAAAAGGACGAUUAUUAUAAGUUUUGUAUGCAUCAGUUAUUAUCUAAUGAAUGUAUAAUUUUGGAUGAUAGCUUUUGUGUUGGAGCUAGAAUUGGUUUGCCAGGUGUCUGGGGAAAUCCAAUGAAAUUGUUUCUAGAAGAAUAUCGUGGUAUACUUUUGGUGUAUAAUGAAGCAAAGCAUGUUUUGACCUGGACAUUUUUAAAAGAAACAUGUUUUAGUGAAGUACACGAUGUGUUAGUAGAGCUUUGUGAUAGACAUAAUAAACACAAUAAGUCACUAAAAGCUUGUUUCACAACUAAAUGCUGUGAAUGGCGAGAUGAUUUGAGACAAAUAUUUGGAAAAUGGUUUAUUGUUAAAGGAAAUCUUCGUUUUUUUCUGGACAAAAUAAUAAAAGAAAUGCCAUCUGACCAUACUUAUUUUAAAGAAUGUUCCAAUGAAUUAGCCAUGGUUUUUCGGGAGCCAGAUGAUAUUGGAGAUGUGCGCAAGGAUUACACAACUGAUCCAAUUUUGAUUGCUCAUAAUUUACAAGAAUUUAUGACACGGUGGAAAGAUGUGAUAGAUGAUCAACUUCAAGCUGUUUUUCCAGAAAAAGCUGUUAUGCUUCUUCAAGAGUUAGAAAAACAUGUUCAAAAUGGUUGUUUGAGUGGUAUCCCUCCAGAAGUUGGAAAUGAUAAUUUUAAUGAGGUCCACAAUGCUUUGCGAAAAUCAAUCUCUCAUUGUAGAAUUACUGUUCCACUAGUAUCAGCUUUAUUUUCUAUGUGUCUUCAUGAAAUAAACAAGAACAAAGGGGCCUCAAUGGAUUUUCAAUAUAAAUCUUCUGAAAAUAUCCAUUUCAAACAAAUAAAUGACAUUGAGGAAACACUUGAUAUAUCUAUUGAAGGCAUGACAACUGUAUCAAUUCAGACUGAAAAUAAAAUAAAUGUCUUACAAGACAUGAAAGAGAAAAAGCAGACAAUUAUGCCUAUUUCUGAUAUAGUGAGCGCAGUGAAUGUAUUCUAUACCAAAAAUAAUUUUAAAAUGUCUCAAUAUUUGAUACAAGCUUUGAUGUAUUACAAGUAUGAAGAAGAUUUUGAUGCAUUUGCACCGCAGGCAAUAAAAAAUCUUCGAUUGUUACCAUAUUAUUCAUCAGCAUUAAAUUUAAUAUCACAUUCUGCUUUUCCAAGGGAGCCUUUUGAAUCAGAUCUAAAUAAGAUUGUUGCAGGAUUGUCAAACGUUGAGCUAAAGAUUCGUAGACUACAUAUAGAUACGUUAAGCUGCAGUUGUUUGAAUGGUUCGAUUAAUGAUAUUUUUUAUAUUGUUGCACGUCAACUGAUAAAGGACAAAAUUGGUGAUAAUCUUUCAGUGGAUGUUUUAGAAUAUUUAAAAUUUUUAAUAAACCUUGGUGUUCAAGUUAUUGAUCGUAAGGAAAAAGAUUUAAUACAAGCUCUUGAAAAUCUUGUGGGCUACACAAAAAAAUAUAAAAGCUCACUUUUAUCCAACACUAGUUUUGAGAAUUUUACAAUGCAACAAGAUUUGGUUGCGUUAAAAGACAAUAAUGAAGAUUUAACAUCUGACUCUGUAGGCACUUUAAAUGACAAUGAUGAAAUUGAUUUUUUAAGUUCAAAUUCUAAAGCAGUCAACAGACAGAGAAGCUCCGCAGCUCCAUCCACAGCUCCAUCACAAUCAUUAACACAGUCUAAUCUUAUGGAUAUAGAAUGUCAUGAGGCUCAUGACCAAGAGGAAGAUGAAUCUUGUAAAAUAAAUAAUUCACCUGGACAAACUAAUGAAAUUCAUACAGAUGAAGUAAAUUCUGCUUUAAUCAGCUUUGAAUUUGAGCUUUUAAAAAGGUUAGCAGAUAAGCUAGGUGCAGUUAUCACUAUAAUAACAAACUUGGAGCAUUGCUGGUUGAUACCAAUAUUUCCUGACAUAUUUAAUCUUUUUUCUCCUCACUUUUUUGUUGUGUAUCGUUUUGGUCGUUUUUUUCCUGCAUGGCUCACCAAUAAAGCUUCAGUUUCAUCUAUACGAAAUAUAAACUUAAAAAGACAAGUGCCAUCAGGAAAAAAAAGUUUGAUAGAUUUUACAAAACCAAGAAAAUGAUCUCUGUCAAAAAAGUUUCACAUUCAAUGACAAAUCGACGAAUUUUUCGAACGCUUUCUCGAGAUAAUUGCGGUGAAUCAAUGGAACCUGAAGACACUGAACAGAUAUUCUUUGGCUUUAAGCAAGAUAACCACGAUUUAAAAGACUGGCCACUUUACCCCAGUAUCCCUUAAUAACUUGGUUAAGUUUUUUUUAUUAUUUUUUUUAU
rnacentral:misc_RNA from 1 species